rnacentral:lncRNA from 1 species
GUUGUGUCCUUGGCGCGAAAGAAUGGUUCAUCUUCCUUGGCGCCCAUCGACCGUUGGAUCAUCGAUAGCUCGCUUUGAGAGAUAUGUAGGACCGCGCAAUGGGUGAUCCAACGGUGGAUGGGUUCGAAGGAAGGUGAAUCCUUCUCUCGCGCGAUGGAUACAACCGCCGGUCGUUUUUGGUUUUGGAACUUUCCUAGGGC